rnacentral:rRNA from 1 species
CAGGUUUACCUGUGUGACUGCGUACCUUUUGUAUAAUGGGUCAGCGACUUAUAUUCUGUAGCAAGGUUAACCGUAUAGGGGAGCCGUAGGGAAACCGAGUCUUAACCGGGCGUUAAGUUGCAGGGUAUAGACCCGAAACCCGGUGAUCUAGCCAUGGGCAGGUUGAAGGUUGGGUAACACUAACUGGAGGACCGAACCGACUAAUGUUGAAAAAUUAGCGGAUGACCUGUGGCUGGGGGUGAAAGGCCAAUCAAACCGGGAGAUAGCUGGUUCUCCCCGAAAGCUAUUUAGGUAGCGCCUCGUGAAUUCAUCUCCGGGGGUAGAGCACUGUUUCGGCUAGGGGGCCAUCCCGGCUUACCAACCCGAUGCAAACUGCGAAUACCGGAGAAUGUUAUCACGGGAGACACACGGCGGGUGCUAACGUCCGUCGUGAAGAGGGAAACAACCCAGACCGCCAGCUAAGGUCCCAAAGUCAUGGUUAAGUGGGAAACGAUGUGGGAAGGCCCAGACAGCCAGGAUGUUGGCUUAGAAGCAGCCAUCAUUUAAAGAAAGCGUAAUAGCUCACUGGUCGAGUCGGCCUGCGCGGAAGAUGUAACGGGGCUAAACCAUGCACCGAAGCUGCGGCAGCGACGCUGAUGCGUUGUUGGGUAGGGGAGCGUUCUGUAAGCCUGCGAAGGUGGCCUGUGAG